rnacentral:lncRNA from 1 species
UAGGAAAUGGGAAGCUCAAUUUGUCAACUAACCCCCAAGUGACCCAUAGUAAAAAGAUGUCAUGGAUCAUGUUGACAUGUGGGGUGAGUAGCCCUUCUAUGAUGGCACCGCUACAUCCACCUUAUUGCACUUCCCAAUUAAGAAGCUUACAUUAAUUGAGAAAAUAAUUGAUGGAUAUGUGCCAAACUUUUAUCAUUGCUAAAAAUCUUUUGUUCGAGAACCCCCUUCAAAUGAUUCAUUAAGCUCUCUACUUCUUAACUCAUACAAAUAUGUUUGUGAAGCUCUUCUAACUCUCUUUCUACAUUAUUCAUCUUGAUAUUCAUUUGUCAUUUUGUC